rnacentral:lncRNA from 1 species
AGAGAAGUGAUAUGCUAAAGACAAAGUUUCACCAUGUAUAUCCCUUUCUUAAUCUUUGGUAGAACCACCUAUUUAUAGGCUUACAAGAUAGAAGAUUGAAUACCAUCAUUUACAAUAUACCUAUAGGUUACAAGUACUAAUUACAAAUACUUAGUGCAUAGGUUACAUAAAAUCCAACGGUGGAAUAUUAAGAGGUAUGGUGGUCAUCCACCAACUCAUGCAUUUACAACACUCUCCCUUGGAUGUCCACCACACAAUGACAUAGUUCCCUCAUUAAAAACCUUGCUUGGAAAACCCAGUGGGACAAAACCAAAUCGAAGGGAAAAAGAGUGAAACUUUCUUGUGAAUCAUUGAUAUGGUGUUGGAUAAGCUUA